AAAAUUAUUAUUUAAACUUAUCCACUUCUUCCAGAUUAGUAUUUAUAGUUUUUUUGUCCCAAAUUAGUACCUAAACUCUUUUUUCGUCUACUAUAUUGGAACCUGACACUAACACCAUUAAUUUUUUACUGACGUGGUAGCGCUGGUCAAUCGCAUGUUGCCACGUGACGUCCUAUUAUACUUAUAUUUUCUUUUUUAUUUCCCCUCCUCUUUCCUUUUUAGUUUCGUUUCUUUUUUUUUUUCUUGUUAUGCGUCUACAUUUCUUCAUUUUCUUUUUUCUUUAUUUUGUCAACCCCCCUCAAAUUUUCCUAAUGUUCAUACAUCUUCCUUUUUGUUUUUGUUUGCAACGAAGAACGGCGCCAAAUUCUUGGGUUUGUUUCCUUGGCUUUUUAAGAACCAAGUUGUUACCACUUUUCACCCCUUCUUCUACCAUGUUGAAACUAGUCUCUCUUCUGUUCUCAAACUCCAUUCUUCCACUUGAUGACGACCCAUAUACA
rnacentral:lncRNA from 1 species